GUGCUCACUUCGGCAGCACAUCUACUAAAAUUGGAACAACACAGAGAAGACUGGCAUGGCCCCUGUGCAAGGAUGACAUGCAGAUUUGUGAAGCGAUCCAUAUUUUU
ensembl:snRNA U6 U6 spliceosomal RNA